rnacentral:lncRNA from 1 species
GCUGAAAUAGGGACGCCAUUGGCGUCGGAGGCACGAUUUGCCCAGCUUUCUAAGGAGGCGGAACUGGACAGAGCUCCUGGACCAGGCAAAUAGGAGCAAAGUUUUCGCGCCUCAUCCCAAGAACAUGAAAAGCUAAAGAGCAGGGACCUUCAUCACUACUACCCUCUGCAUGGGCACAAGGACAUGGGUACCAGCACUUGCAGCAGCCUCCCCUUGAGGUCUCCCCAUAGUACCCAGGGCAUUCUCAGUGCUGCCCCCCACCAGCUUCCUGGAUGCUUCACAUUUUACAUGGAUCUCAACCAGGAGCAACCACAAAACAGCCAGCCCUUUCUGGUAUCUUGUGAGGGACAGAAGCCUGAAGGAUCAGUGUACAGAUGCUGCAGAUCUGCCUCCCCUCCUCCCCAGACAUAACAAACCCUGUACACCCAACCUUU